rnacentral:rRNA from 1 species
GACGAACGCUGGCGGCGUGCUUAACACAUGCAAGUCGAGCGACUGCAUUCUUUUCGGAGGGUGUAUGGAGCGGCGAACGGGUGAGUAACACGUGAGUAAUCUGCCUUUGGCUUGGGAAUAACUUCGGGAAAUCGGGGCUAAUGCCUGAUGUUUACUGUCUGCUGCAUGGUGGGUGGUGGAAAGUAUUUUUUGGCCGAGGAGUGAGCUCGCGGUCUAUCA